CAUGCUUAUCAUUACAGGUGAGAAACAGGUCGGAAGAUGGGAAACAGGCAGCCCUAUUUUCCUGCUUCCUCCUCAGGUCAGGCUUCAUGCUCUCCAGUCUUUCCCUCCACUCUUGCCUUCUCCUAAUACAUUCUACACACAGUCCCCUUCAGGGGUCACCAGUCCCCAAAAUUACAAUGUGGCCUUUACUGCCAUGCCCUUGUAUUUGUUGGGUACCUACUUGGCACAUCCUCUCUCACUCCUUCAGCUAACCAGUUUGUACUCCUUCUGGUGGUGCCUGCUUUCUAGAAACCUUCUUCGUAAUGUUUGAGGGCCUUUCCCUUUGGCCUCCCACCAUGUCUUGGGUAUGUAUGUGAAGCCAGGUGCCAGCAGGCAGGUGUUCAGGAAAUGCCUGCUGACUAAAGGAAAGGCAGACAGGAAGUGGGGCUAAGCACCCAAUCUAACACCAGCACAAUACUUGGCAAGUGCCUGGUGAUAAGUAAUGGUUUCCCAUAUGUAAAGCUUUGUGUGUGAGAGGGAAAAAAAAAAAAGAGUGAGAGAACCCUAGUAGGGACCCUCACUAUUUUGCCCAGCCCAGCACUGGCACAUGGAAUGGUAGGCAAAGGCUGUCUAAUCAUCAGGUAAUCGGAAGGGUCAGAGCAUUGCCUCUCCAAGGAGGGUGGCAAAAUGAGGCCCUAGAGAAUCCAAGAGGGGCCCCACUGCCACCCAACUUCCAGAGGACUGAUGAUACUUUUUUUUUUUUUUUUUAGUUAGUUAGUGUAUGUAUGUAUGUAUGUAUUGAUUGAGUGACAGAGCACAGGUGAGAUAGGGACACAGAGAAGGGGGAGAAAGAAACCCAAGUAGGUCUGCACCGUCAGCGCAGAGCCAGACACAGGGACACGAACUCACGAACCCGGAGAUCAGGACCUAGGCUGAGAUCAAGAGUCCGAUGCUUUACAGACUGAGUCAUCAAGGUGCCCCAAGACUGAUGAUUCUGAGCCUGGCCCCAUAUAGAAACUGAGGUGGAGGAAAACUCGGGCUGUUCUCUAAAUAGCUUCGUGCUCCUGCCAUCUGCUGCCAGGCAGUCAGGAAAGAAAGCAUCAUUGCAGUUUCCUGCAGGAGCUGUCAGAGCUGUGUCCUUGUGCAAAAAUCCUACAAACAAGAUCCUACCUACUUUGCUUCUCUGGCGCUAGAGCUCUCCAGCUCUGCCCCUUACCCAGUCGUGCUAGCAGAUGUUCUCGAAAGUGAAGUCCCCGCAUCCUACGCGCUCCCCGCCACCCCAACGUCCCUCUCUCUUAGGCUCUGAGGGCUGCCCGCCGCCCCGCCCCUGCCGCUCGAACGCCUCUCCCUCAUAGGCCAGAGCUAUCCGUGGUGCCCGGCCCCCGCCUCCUGAACGCGGCUCCCUCAUAGGCCGGAGCUCUCCCCACAGUCCCGCUCCGCGCACUGGUCCCGCCCCUGCGUCCAUUUAAAGAGUCUUCACACGUACCACCCAUCCCCUCCUUGCCGAGUGGCUUGUUUUGUGCGACGCUCCGUAGCUGCUCGUUUCCGCCCACGGCGCGGACUUCUUUAGGUAGAGGGACUUUUGGCCGCCUCGCCGGGCCCAGGCGACAGAGAAAAGAGCCAACGUGCGUGUGCUCCCUAGUGAGACCUCCAGAGGGAAGGGCAGCAGGCCGAGACCCACACAGAACUGAUUUGUACGUCCCCUCAGAAGAAUAUGCCCACACAAUUGAGCACGAGGUUCUGCAUCAAAUUUCAAGAGGUUCAGCUCAUUCUGCCAUGAAAUGUUUUUGACUAGAGGAAUGUUUUACCCAUUAACCCAAGCCCUUGGAAUACAGUCAAGAAGGAAAGCCCUUCACUUCCUUUUUGCAACAUAAAGAGCUUGUUUUUAGUGGCAUAUUGCCAUCAUUGAAAUCAGUGACUUUAAUAAACAUUUUAAGUUGUUUGUUAUGAUGCCCCACAUCGAAAUCCACAUUCUAAAGCAAGGGUUACUUUGUUUACCAAGUAACAGCCAGAAUAUUAUUGAUCCCUGAGGUCUAAUUUUUUCUUUCUUUCUUUUUAAUUUACUUAUUUUGAGAGAGAGGAAGAGAGAAUCCCACGCAUGCUCCAUGCUCAGCCCGGCAUGGGGCUCAAAUCCAUGAACCUUGAGAUCAUGACCUGAGCCGAAACCAAGAGCCUGUUGCUUAACUGACUGAGCCACCUAGGUGCCCCCCUUUAUUUAUUUUUUUAAAGUUUAAGUAAUCUCUGUACACAACAUGGGGCUCGAACUUACAACCUCGAGAUCAAGAAUCACAUGCUCUUUGAACCAGCCAGGUGCCCCCUUCAUGUCUAAUUUUUUUUUUAAUUUUUUUUUUUAAUGUUUAUUUAUUUUUGAGACAGAGAGAGACAGAGCAUGAAUUGGGGAGGGUCAGAGAGAGAGGGAGACACAGAAUCUGAAGCAGGCUCCAGGCCCGACACGGGGCUGCAAUUCACGGACCGUGAGAUCAUGACCUGAGCCGAAGUCGGAUGCUUAACCGACUGAGCCACCCAGGCACCCCUAAUUUUUUUUUUUAAGUUUAUUUAGAGAGCGAGAGUGUGCAUGUGUGUGCAUACAUAGGGAAGGGGCAGAGAGAAUCUCCAGCAGGCUCCACACGGGGAUCCAUCUCACAAACCAUGAGAUCAUGACCUGAGCAGAAAUCAAAAGUCAGGCACUGAACCCACUGAGCCACCUAGGCAUCUCUGAUGUCUAAUGUUAAAUUGAGGUAAGAGGCUUUGUAAAUAUAGGCCCUGACCAUGGUUAAUGAACUGAAUUGCAGUUGAACCUGGUAUAAGGGAUGCCACAGAAACAGGGCCUUUUCUUGGGACCUUUGUUUUACAGCUUUAGGACUUAUUUUUAGUUACCAGGUUUUUAAGCCAUGUCUUACUUUUUUUUUUUUUUGUUUAUUUGAGAGAGCUUGAGAAUGCAUGCAUGCAUGCGAGCUGGGGAGAGACAGAGAGGAAGGUGGAGAGAAUCCCAAGCAGGCUUCCCACUGUCAGCACAGAGCCCAACGCAGGGCUAGUUCACACUAUGAGAUCAUGACCUGAACCAAAGAGUCAGAGGCUUAACCGACUGAGCCACCCAGGCACCCCGAGCAUGGAACUCUUGAUCUUGGGGUCAUGGGUUUGAGCCUCACAUUGGGGGCAGAGUUUACUUAAAAAAAUAAAUAAACUAGGGCACCUUGAUGUUGAUAAAACCAACUGGUUGCCCUAUUUUUCACACUUCAGUGGGGUCAACAUUGUAACAGUCCUACUCCAGUUUGCCCAGAAGUUGUUUUCAGGCAAAUUAGGCCUUGGUACUUAAGCAGAUUCUUGAGAAUCUUUGUAUAAAGGGAAUGUUCUAUUAUCUUCAUAAUUUCAAGUCCAAGAAAUUUCUAAUGAGCAAAAUGAAAAUUACAGCUGGAUGAUAAAAAUGGAACUUGACACUCGAGUUUUUAAAGACCAGGCUGGCAUUUUAUUUUUCUAUUCCCGACACUCAAAUUCAUAGGGGGUGAAUGAUAAUAGAACAUAAUCAAAAUAACAUACAAACACAAUUCAAGAACAUUUAACUAUCUACUGUAGCUGUUCUUUGUAAAAUACAUAAAGGUAAACAGAAA